GCUUGCUUCCGCAGGACAUAUACUAAAAUUGGAAUGAUACAGAGAAGAGUAGCAUGGCCCCUGCACAAGGAUGACACACAAAAUUCAGGAAGUGCUCCCUGCUUAG